rnacentral:tmRNA from 1 species
AAACUUGCAAUUUCCAGUCUAAAAGAGUAUAAUUGAUGGGCCACGCGAGUGGUGAUGAUUCUGAAGCCUUUGUGCAAUAGUCAUUUUGGACUGGGGGGCGGUACCCCACAGCUCCACCAUUAUUUGAUAUGAUUUUUGGUCGUAUUUGAUUAUGGGGCUGACAUAGAUUCGACAGAUGAUGAAAGACAAAAUGGUUGAAUCCGACAUGGUGUCGUUAAAAACCAACUAAAAACUGAAUGGCGAUAGAAUCGCUGCGAACGACAAUGUUCGCCUUGCAAUGGCUGCCUAAUAUGGCGUUGAAUACGGUUGGCGAUUGUUAGCCGUGUUCGUUUAAGCAAUUGCGGGGUUUGCCGGUACCUGGCACCAGAAAUCCGGCGUU